rnacentral:rRNA from 1 species
GAUGAACGCUGGCGGCGUGCCUAAUACAUGCAAGUCGAGCGAACAGACGAGGAGCUUGCUCCUCUGACGUUAGCGGCGGACGGGUGAGUAACACGUGGAUAACCUACCUAUAAGACUGGGAUAACUUCGGGAAACCGGAGCUAAUACCGGAUAACAUGUUGAACCGCAUGGUUCAACAGUGAAAGACGGUCUUGCUGUCACUUAUAGAUGGAUCCGCGCCGCAUUAGCUAGUUGGUAAGGUAACGGCUUACCAAGGCAACGAUGCGUAACCGACCUGAGAGGGUGAUCGGCCACACUGGAACUGAGACACGGUCCAGACUCCUACGGGAGGCAGCAGUAGGGAAUCUUCCGCAAUGGGCGAAAGCCUGACGGAGCAACGCCGCGUGAGCGAAGAAGGUCUUCGGAUCGUAAAACUCUGUUAUUAGGGAAGAACAAAUGUGUAAGUAACUAUGCACGUCUUGACGGUACCUAAUCAGAAAGCCACGGCUAACUACGUG